rfam:Rhizobium sp. Root149 contig_15, whole genome shotgun sequence.
CUUCCUCGAUCUGCUGUGGGCAGAUGAAAUGGAUGUGAGCAUCCAUGCCACCAGCGGUGAUAAUCUUGCCCUCGCCAGCGAUUGCCUCGGUGCCGGGACCGACGAUGAUAUUGACGCCCGGCUGGGUAUCCGGAUUGCCAGCCUUACCGAUGGCAACGAUGCGGCCGUCUUUGAGACCGAUAUCGGCCUUGACGAUGCCGGUAUGAUCCACGAUCACGACAUUGGUGAUCACGGUGUCGACAGCACCUUCGGCACGGCUGACCUGGCUCUGGCCCAUGCCAUCACGGAUG